rnacentral:rRNA from 1 species
GACGAACGCUGGCGGCGCGCUUAACACAUGCAAGUCGAACGGAAAGGCCUGCUUUCCCUUGUGGAUUGCGGGUACUCGAGUGGCGAACGGGUGAGUAACACGUGAGUGAUCUGCCCCCAACUUGGGUAUAAGCCUGGGAAACUGGGUCUAAUUCCCGAUAGGACUGCAGGGUGGUGCCUGUGGUGGAAAACGAUUUUCUAGUGGUUGGGGAUGAGCUCGCGGCCUAUCAGCUUGUUGGUGGGGUAAUGGCCUACCAAGGCGGCGACGGGUAGCCGGCCUGGGAGGGUGGACGGCCACAUUGGGACUGAGGUACGGCCCAGACUCCUACGGGAGGCAGCAGUGGGGAAUAUUGCACAAUGGGCGGAAGCCGGAUGCAGCGACGCGGCGUGGGGGAUGACGGCCUUCGGGUUGUAAACUCCUUUCGACCGCGAGGAAGCCACCUGGUUGGAAGGGUGGUGACGGUAGUGGUAGAAGAAGCACCGGCUAACUACGUG